rnacentral:rRNA from 1 species
GGCGAACGCUGGCGGCGUGCUUAACACAUGCAAGUCGAACGGAAAGGCCCUGCUUUUGUGGGGUGCUCGAGUGGCGAACGGGUGAGUAACACGUGAGUAACCUGCCCUUGACUUUGGGAUAACUUCAGGAAACUGGGGCUAAUACCGGAUAGGAGCUCCUGCUGCAUGGUGGGGGUUGGAAAGUUUCGGCGGUGGGGGAUGGUCUCGCGGCUUAUCAGCUGGUUGGUGGGGUAGGGGCUGACAAGGGCUUUGACGGGUAGCCGGCAUGGGAGGGUGACCGGCCACAUUGGGACUGAGAUACGGCGCAGACUCCUACGGGAGGCAGCAGUGGGGAAUAUUACACAAUGGGGGGAAGCCUGAUGCAGCAACGCCGCGUGCGUGAUGACGGCCUUCGAGUUGUAAACCGCUUUCUCCUGUGACGAAGAGUGCGUGACGGUAAUGGGUCAAGAAGCACCGGCUAACUACGUG